UUCCCGCGCCCCCCAAAAUCCCCAAUCUCUUAGAACCAAAAUCCCUCAUUUCUACCAAAUAUCUCUCUCUCUCUCUCUCUCUCUCUCUCUCUCUCUCUUGUUUCGUUGUUCUUCAUAUCUGCAUCGAUCACUCUCUGACUUUCUCAUUGUUCAUCUCAUCGCACCGAUCAUCGCACCGCCGAUCUACUCACAGGUACGAUCGUUUCCUAGGUUUUCCAACAAUAUAUCAGCGUUCGCGAAUUAGGUUUAUAAUAAGUUCUUAUAAUUUGUAUUUUUUGUUUAUUGAAAGGCUCUUCGCUCUUUGGAUUUGUAUCCGAUAAACUAUUUGCUAGAUUUUUUUUAUUAUUAUUUUUUUAAUUUUUUAAUGUGUUGUAACCUUGUUUGUCUGAAACUGUUGUCUUCUCACAGUUUUCUUUCUGUCUCUCUCAAGAAUUCUUGUUUUGUUUAAUGUGUUGUAACCAAUUUUUUUGUGUUGUUUUGCUUUUUUUCUUUUGGUUUUUUGGUAGCCUGGAUAUAUUUUUUUUUUUGUAUGGGUUAUUGUUUACUGUGAUGUAAAUUUUGCCAUUACCAAUGAAUAAAUGUCAAUACAAACUACAAAGGAA